AACGCACGAGACCUGCGGACCUGCGGAGGGAUCAUUAGUGAACGCCCUCACGGGCUUAUAACUAUUCCAAACCUCUGUGAUCCGUGCCCUUCGGGGCUAUUUUACAAACAUGGUGUAAUGAACGUCAUAUAUCAUAACAAAACAAAACUUUUAACAAUGGAUCUCU
rnacentral:misc_RNA from 1 species